rnacentral:lncRNA from 1 species
CAAGCAUCAAAUUACCCAUUUAAUUACUUUUUAAAACUCUCUCUUCAUAGGUCUUGCAUGGUUGCAGCACAGCAUAUCAUUUAUCCACAGGUGUGAAAUCCCCACUGAGCAAGAGCUUCAGGACAAUGGUCAAUCUGUGAGAAAUGCUGAGGGUGUUCAAGUCCAAUUGUGUUCUCAGACUUCCCCAGGAGCUGGGAGACUGAGGCCAACAUACCUGAAUACAGCACCACCCAGGAGCCUUGUAGCCUAAGGUGCCAGGCUGACUCAAACCUGGACCCACUCCUGUCACGUGAGAGGGAUGGAGAAGCCCUGCAUCUGGUUCUUGAAGUAAAGGCCUUCAUCACUCUUUUCCUCAAAGAGCUGCAUGUCGAUUAGAGUCUUGGAACAAUCGCUUUCCACUGCUCAUUGGCCCAGCUCACUGGCCUCUUGCCCAAGGACAGGUAACGGGCACAUGAAGAGACAGCGGAAGCAGUUCUGGGCCAACCAAAAAAGAUCUCAACCCAGGGUAAGUCUUUUACGAGGAAAAGCCUGUCCUUUGCUGAUGCUCAAAACAUAUGUGACUUGAAAUUGUUUGUUCAUUCAUGUUAAGGGGACUGAGUUCCCACUGGCCAGUCUCAUGUUGGGAGACCCAAUCCCUACCCAGGAAAGCUUUAUAAAGGUGGAGGAGGGGGGAGAGGGAGGGGGAGAAGAACUCAUGCUAGCUGUCUUGUUUGUUCGCUUCUUAACCUCCCUUGGUUGAGGUUACCAAGAGGGUGCACACUGGCUCUGCUCAGAACAAUUCUGCUGCUGCCAAACCCGUCAACCUUUACUUGCCAUCUCUCAGUAAGGAAUACUAAUGCCAAAUAGAUGAGCUGUGUCCUGGAGCCAGUGACAUCCCAGGAGGGAGUGGUGGCAUCAGGAGAUGGGAGGAGUAGAUGGGAACAAGACCCUUUAGGGAAUCUAGUGGCCUCCAGAAAAUGGAAGCUCUGAAAGUAUUAACUUCUCAAUGUGGCACCUGAGACAUCCUUGUGUGUUUUCUAGAACAUUUUGGAGUAGGCACUGGAGGUAUUUCAUCCAGCAGUGAGAGUCUUUUGGAGUCAGAGCACUGAAAGCCUUAGGCAGAUGUUCCUUUGCUCCUCUCAUUUAUUACAUACACUUCCUUUGGACCACUACCCAUGGAAUGGGCAAUAUUAGUUAUCCAUCGGGAUGAUUAUUAGCUUGUUUUCCUCUAUCAAGCUCAACCAUAAUGUUUUUACUUUUUUCCUUGGAGUCUACCCAUACAACGAACAGCUGGGCUGUGUGAGGGCUGAGAGCUCACACUGGGGAUGCUUGUUGCUGAGGGUGUGGGGCUUGGUGUAGGGACACCUGGGGGAUGGUCACAUGGCACACUGGAAGGGCCUCUGCUGCAAUUUGGUGUCAAGAUGUCUACCAGUAGGUCAGCUCCACUCAUGAAAUAAACCCCCAUCAGUCCACAUUUCAGCAAAUGAGAUCUCAAAUAACCAUUUUAACAUAGUUCAUUAAAAAGAUAUAAACCAACAAGUUACAAAGCCAUCAUCAGGCAUCAUUCAGGAAAGAACAGUUCAAAAUAUAAUCAGUAAGUCGUCUUUACCUCCUUGUAGAAUCUUAGGAUAACUCAAUACUUCUAAUCAGAGACACAGUAAGUACCAUAUAUGGCUUUUUGUUACUGUUUUGUAUUUUAUUUGAUAACUUGUCUAUGUAGUCACAUGGUACCUGCAAGCUAAUCUGAGUAAAUAGAUGAUCUCAAAUAGAAAAAUACUUGAUCCAUCCUACACCUUAUUGCCAUCCCCCUCUCUUGCUCAUCCCCUUGUAUCUUACUAAGAACUGUGUAAGACCCUUCCUCCAUAUACAGGUUGCCAUUAGUAAUGUCCAGUUGGUACAAUAGUACCCACCUCCUGGAGGCAGUUGGCUGGACCACACUAGGCACCCG